rnacentral:lncRNA from 1 species
UUCUAUUAAUUUAGUGCUCGUCCUAAUGGUGUGAAAGCUAGGUUUGAUUUUGAACUGUUUCUGUUGAAGGUGGGGAGGUAGUUUUUUUUUUUUUAAUUUUCUUUUUAGGGUCUGUGCAGAGGAGAAAGACUAUGGCUGGUGGUUACUAGCUAUUUCCUGUUCUCGAUCUUAACAUUGGUCUGUUUAUUCUGUUCUCAGGCACCUUCUGUCCAUCGCUCUGUCAAGGGAAAGUGCUUUGAAUCAGUGGAUUUAUAAUAUUUUUGACGUCUAAUAAUGGAUGGAAAAAAAUGGAUGUUGGCAUCAUUUCUACCACAGCAACAAGAGCAAAGAUGGACUCCAGAAAGUCAAAACAUCAAGGAAUAUUUGCCAUUUCUUUAGGAAUCUCAUGAUUUUCCCUUUUUGGAACUUCUGUCAACAUAGUCACGGAGAAGAGGAGACAGCAUGUGCAAGGGAAUGA